CAGAGCGUAGCGCAGUUGGUAGCGUACGAGGUUUGGAACCUUGUGGUCGUAAGUUCGAGUCUUACCGCUCUGACCA
rnacentral:tRNA from 1 species